rnacentral:rRNA from 1 species
AGAGUUUGAUCCUGGCUCAGAAUGAACGCUGGCGGCGUGCUUAACACAUGCAAGUCGAACGAGAAAUCUUUAGCUUGCUAGAGAAAGUAAAGUGGCGCACGGGUGAGUAACGCGUGGGUAAUCUGCCUCCGAAUCGGGGAUAACAUUGCGAAAGCGAUGCUAAUACCGGAUAAAAUCUGGUUGGCUUCGGUGAACCGGAUCAAAGGUGGUCUCUUUAUAAAAGCUACCGUUUGGAGAUGAGCUCGCGUACCAUUAGCUAGUUGGUGAGGUAAAGGCUCACCAAGGCGACGAUGGUUAGCUGGUCUGAGAGGAUGAUCAGCCACACCGGAACUGGAACACGGUCCGGACUCCUACGGGAGGCAGCAGUGAGGAAUUUUGCGCAAUGGGGGAAACCCUGACGCAGCAACGCCGCGUGAGUGAUGAAGGCUUUCGGGUCGUAAAGCUCUGUCAGGUGGGAAGAACCCACCAAGUGUUAAGACCACUUGGUGCUGACGGUACCACCGAAGGAAGCACCGGCUAACUCCGUGCCAGCAGCCGCGGUAAUACGGGGGGUGCGAGCGUUAUUCGGAAUCAUUGGGCGUAAAGGGCGCGCAGGCGGUUUUGUAAGUCAGAUGUGAAAUCCCGGGGCUUAACCCCGGAAGUGCAUAUGAAACUAUGAGACUUGAGUAUGGGAGAGGGAAGCGGAAUUCCUGGUGUAGCGGUGAAAUGCGUAGAUAUCAGAGGAACACCGGUGGCGAAGGCGGCUUCCUGGACCAAUACUGACGCUGAGGCGCGAAAGGCGUGGGGAGCGAACAGGAUUAGAUACCCUGGUAGUCCACGCAGUAAACGUUGAUCACUAGGUGUAGCGGGUAUUGA